UCCCUGGUGGCUCAGAAGGUAAAGCGUCUGUCUACAAUGCAGGAGACCCGAGUUCAAGCCCUGGGUUGGGAA
rnacentral:tRNA from 1 species